AAUCAACGCUGGCGGCGUGCCUAACACAUGCAAGUCGAACGAGAAAGUGGGGGCAACUCCACAAGUAAAGUGGCAGACGGGUGAGUAACACGUGAACAACCUACCCUUGAGUGUGGAAUAACACCGCGAAAGCGGUGCUAAUACCGCAUGACAUCCCCGGGUCGCAUGACUUGGAGAUCAAAAGCGCAAGCUGCUUGAGGAGGGGUUCGCGCCUGAUUAGCUAGUUGGUGAGGUAACGGCCCACCAAGGCAACGAUCAGUAGCCGGCCUGAGAGGGCGAACGGCCACACUGGAACUGAGACACGGUCCAGACUCCUACGGGUGGCUG
rnacentral:rRNA from 1 species